ensembl:snRNA U6 U6 spliceosomal RNA
GUGCUUGCUUCGGCAGCACAUAUCCUAAAAUUGGAACGAUACAGAGAAGAUUAGCAUGACCCCUGCACAAGGAUGACAUGAAAAUUCGUGAAGUGUUCCACGUUUUU